CCUACGGGAGGCAGCAGUGGGGAAUAUUGGGCAAUGGGCGCAAGCCUGACCCAGCAACGCCGCGUGAAGGAAGAAGGCUUUCGGGUUGUAAACUUCUUUUAAGGGGGAAGAGCAGAAGACGGUACCCCUUGAAUAAGCCACGGCUAACUACGUGCCAGCAGCCGCGGUAAUACGUAGGUGGAAAGCGUGGUCCGUAUUUACUGGGUGUAAAGGGCGUGCAGCCGGAGAGACAAGUCAGAUGUGAAAUCCACGGGCUCAACCCGUGAACUGCAUUUGAAUCUGUUUCCCUUGAGUGUCGGAGAGGUAAUCGGAAUUCCUUGUGUAGCGGUGAAAUGCGUAGAUAUAAGGAAGAACACCAGUGGCGAAGGCGGAUUACUGGACGAUAACUGACGGUGAGGCGCGAAAGCGUGGGGAGCAAACAGGAUUAGAUACCCGAGUAGUC
rnacentral:rRNA from 1 species